AUACACGCUACGGUCUACCGAAGAGGUCCACCUGUGCAGUUUUUUGGACCUGCGCAGGUGACCGGCGCAAAAUCUAUUCCCACGCACAUUCCGGUCUACCUGCGCAGGCAUACCUGCACAGGUGGACCUUUCCGGUAGACCACUGCAUAUGGUAUGGCUU